UGUGUUGCCCAGAGAUGGUCACCCAAGAGGGGGGUGAAUUGGGUGUUUUAAAAACUUUUGACUAAUUAAAAUAAAACACACGAAUAUAUGCACUAAAGUAAAGAAGGAGAAAUGAGAAAGGUCAAUCGCAAACACAAGGUUUUAUAGUGGUUCGGAGCUUCCACUGCUCCUACAUCCACUCCCCAAAUCACCUUUGGAAAUUUCCACUAUAAUCCACGAUUACAGUACGGUAGUUUUGCGAGUUCACUACCCAACUCGUUGUUUUACACCGGGCUCACAACAAACCCUAAAACCCCCAAUUUCACUUAGGCUUGGGAC
rnacentral:lncRNA from 1 species